UUGCGCCCUUGCCUUCGCCCGCGCACCCCUCGCCCUUCUCGCCUCUGACCCCGCCAAGGCCGCACUGCAACCCCUCUUUUUUUUUCCCCUCCGACCCUCCUCCACCGCCUUCGUAGCCCUCCGCGACGAUAGCGAGGAUGGUAUCGCGUCCUCUUCCUCUGCCUUUGCUCUCCACCUUCACUGCAGUAGAUUUUCUACCAACCAAAUAAACCCGUCAUCCCCACCGCCGUCGCCGGCAACGAAGAGGAAGU
rnacentral:lncRNA from 1 species